CCUACGGGAGGCAGCAGUGGGGAAUAUUGGGCAAUGGGCGCAAGCCUGACCCAGCAACGCCGCGGGAAGGAAGAAGGCUCUCGGGGUGUAAACCUCUUUUCUCAGGGACGAAGCAAGUGACGGUACCUGAGGAAUAAGCCACGGCUAACUACGGGCCAGCAGCUGCGGUAAUACGUAGGCGGCAAGCGUUAUCAGGAUUUACUGGGUGGAAAGGGCGGGUAGGCGGGGACGCAAGUCAGAUGUGAAAACCACGGGCUCAACCGGUGGCCUGCAUUUGAAACUGUGUUUCUUGAGUACUGGGGAGGCAGGCGGAAUUCCUAGUGUAGCGGUGAAAUGCGUAGAUAUUAGGAGGAACACCGGUGGCGAAGGCGGUCUGCUGGACAGCAACUGACGCUGAGGCGCGAAAGCGUGGGGAGCAAACAGGAUUAGAUACCCUGGUAGUC
rnacentral:rRNA from 1 species